rnacentral:rRNA from 1 species
CUCAGGAUGAACGCUAGCGGCAGGCCUAACACAUGCAAGCCGAGGGGUAAGUCUCUUUCNGGGAGAACACGACCGGCGCACGGGUGAGCAACGCGUAUGCAACCUACCUUUGGCACGGGGACAGCCCGGGGAAACCCGGAUUAAUACCCGGUAUAGUCUAUUAUACACCUGUAUAAAAGACGAGAGCUACGGCGGCCAAAGAUGGGCAUGCGUGCCAUUAGUUAGUUGGUAGGGUAACGGCCUACCAAGGCAUCGAUGGCUACGGGGUCUAAAAGGAUGAGCCCGCACACUGGUACUGGGACACGGACCAGACUCCUACGGGAGGCAGCAGUGAGGAAUAUUGGUCAAUGGGUGGAAGCCUGAACCAGCCAUGCCGCGUGCAGGAAGACGGCCUUAUGGGUUGUAAACUGCUUUUCUACGGGACGAACGGCUCUGACGUGUCAGAGAUUGACGGUACCGUAGGAAUAAGCAUCGGCUAACUCCGUGCCAGCAGCCGCGGUAAUACGGAGGAUGCGAGCGUUAUCCGGAUUUAUUAGGUUUAAAGGGUGCGUAGGCUGGGCAAUAAGUCAGUGGUGAAAGUCCGCGGCUCAACCGUGGGAUUGCCAUUGAAACUGUUGUUCUUGAGUACAGUCGAGGUAGGCGGAAUGUGUAAUGUAGCGGUGAAAUGCACAGAUAUUACCCAGAACACCGAUUGCGUAGGCAGCUUACCAGCCUGGAACUGACGCUGAUGCACGAAAGCGUGGGGAGCGAACAGGAUUAGAUACCCUGGUAGUCCACGCCGUAAACGAUGAUCACUCGCUGUUGGCAAUAUAGAGUCAGCGGCUGAGCGAAAGCAUUAAGUGAUCCACCUGGGGAGUACGUCGGCAACGAUGAAACUCAAAGGAAUUGACGGGGGCCCGCACAAGCGGUGGAACAUGUGGUUUAAUUCGAUGAUACGCGAGGAACCUUACCUGGGCUUAAAUGUAGCCGGACGAUUC